rnacentral:tRNA from 1 species
CGCGGAGUGGAGCAGUUGGUAGCUCGUUGGGCUCAUAACCCAAAGGUCAUUCGUUCGAAUCGGAUCUCCGCAA